rnacentral:rRNA from 1 species
GAUGAACGCUGGCGGCGUGCCUAAUACAUGCAAGUCGAGCGAACGGACGAGAAGCUUGCUUCUCUGAUGUUAGCGGCGGACGGGUGAGUAACACGUGGAUAACCUACCUAUAAGACUGGGAUAACUUCGGGAAACCGGAGCUAAUACCGGAUAAUAUUUUGAACCGCAUGGUUCAAAAGUGAAAGACGGUCUUGCUGUCACUUAUAGAUGGAUCCGCGCUGCAUUAGCUAGUUGGUAAGGUAACGGCUUACCAAGGCAACGAUGCAUAGCCGACCUGAGAGGGUGAUCGGCCACACUGGAACUGAGACACGGUCCAGACUCCUACGGGAGGCAGCAGUAGGGAAUCUUCCGCAAUGGGCGAAAGCCUGACGGAGCAACGCCGCGUGAGUGAUGAAGGUCUUCGGAUCGUAAAACUCUGUUAUUAGGGAAGAACAUAUGUGUAAGUAACUGUGCACAUCUUGACGGUACCUAAUCAGAAAGCCACGGCUAACUACGUGCCAGCAGCCGCGGUAAUACGUAGGUGGCAAGCGUUAUCCGGAAUUAUUGGGCGUAAAGCGCACGUAGGCGGUUUUUUAAGUCUGAUGUGAAAGCCCACGGCUCAACCGUGGAGGGUCAUUGGAAACUGGAAAACUUGAGUGCAGAAGAGGAAAGUGGAAUUCCAUGUGUAGCGGUGAAAUGCGCAGAGAUAUGGAGGAACACCAGUGGCGAAGGCGACUUUCUGGUCUGUAACUGACGCUGAUGUGCGAAAGCGUGGGGAUCAAACAGGAUUAGAUACCCUGGUAGUCCACGCCGUAAACGAUGAGUGCUAAGUGUUAGGGGGUUUCCGCCCCUUAGUGCUGCAGCUAACGCAUUAAGCACUCCGCCUGGGGAGUACGACCGCAAGGUUGAAACUCAAAGGAAUUGACGGGGACCCGCACAAGCGGUGGAGCAUGUGGUUUAAUUCGAAGCAACGCGAAGAACCUUACCAAAUCUUGACAUCCUUUGACAACUCUAGAGAUAGAGCUUUCCCCUUCGGGGGACAAAGUGACAGGUGGUGCAUGGUUGUCGUCAGCUCGUGUCGUGAGAUGUUGGGUUAAGUCCCGCAACGAGCGCAACCCUUAAGCUUAGUUGCCAUCAUUAAGUUGGGCACUCUAAGUUGACUGCCGGUGACAAACCGGAGGAAGGUGGGGAUGACGUCAAAUCAUCAUGCCCCUUAUGAUUUGGGCUACACACGUGCUACAAUGGACAAUACAAAGGGCAGCGAAACCGCGAGGUCAAGCAAAUCCCAUAAAGUUGUUCUCAGUUCGGAUUGUAGUCUGCAACUCGACUACAUGAAGCUGGAAUCGCUAGUAAUCGUAGAUCAGCAUGCUACGGUGAAUACGUUCCCGGGUCU